UACGAGAGGCCCAAACGUUAUUCGGAAUUACUGGGCUUAAAGAGUUCGUAGGCGGCGCAGAAAGUAGGGUGUGAAAGCCCUCGGCUUAACCGAGGAAUUGCGCUCUAAACUACUGUGCUUGAGGAACCUAGAGGUGAGCAGAACUGAUGGUGGAGCGGUGAAAUGCGUUGAUAUCAUCAGGAAUACCGGAGGCGAGGGCGGCUCACUGGGGGUUUUCUGACGCUGAGGAACGAAAGCCAGGGGAGCGAACGGG
rnacentral:rRNA from 1 species